rnacentral:rRNA from 1 species
AGAAAAUAGAUACCCUGGUAGUCCACGCCCUAAACGAUGCAAACUAGGCAUUGGAGUCUUUGAAACGCUUCAGUGCCGAAAGCUAACGCGUUAAGUUUGCCGCCUGGGGAGUACGGCCGCAAGGCUAAAACUCAAAGGAAUUGACGGGGACCCGCACAAGCGGUGGAACAUGCGGUUUAAUUCGUGGACAAGCGAGGAACCUUACCAGGACUUGACAUCUCCGGAAAUCUGCUAGAAAUAGCGGAGUGCCUUCGGGAGCCGGAUGACAGGUACUGCACGGUCGUCGUCAGCUCGUGUCGUGAGAUGUAGCCCUUAGUGGUGAAACGAGCGCAACCCUCUCCUAAUUUACAUUUGCAUUAGGAUACUGCCUCGGUUAACGGGGAGGAAGGUGGGGAUGACGUCAGAUCAGCGUGGUCCUUAUGUCCUGGGCGACACGCGUGUUACAAUGGCCGGUACAAUGGGUUGCAAAGUCGCGAGACGGAGCUAAUCCCAUCAAAGCCGGUCUCAGUACGGAUUGAAGUCUGCAACUCGACUUC